CUCAUACUCCCUCCGUUCCAAUUACUUGUCGUAGAAAUGGAUGUAUCUAGACAUUCUAGAUACAUCCAUUUCUACGACAAGUAAUUCAGAACGGAGGGAGUAUUAU
rfam:Triticum aestivum genome assembly, contig: Triticum_aestivum_CS42_TGACv1_scaffold_501592_6BL